rnacentral:rRNA from 1 species
GAACUUAAGCAUAUCAAUAAGCGGGGAAAAGAAACCAACAGGGAUUGCUCUAGUAACGGCGAGUGAAGCAGCAAUAGCUCAAAUUUGAAAUCUGGCGUCUUCGACGUCCGAGUUGUAAUUUGUAGAGGAUGCUUCUGAGUAACCACCGACCUAAGUUCCUUGGAACAGGACGUCAUAGAGGGUGAGAAUCCCGUAUGCGGUCGGAAAGGUGCUCUAUACGUAGCUCCUUCGACGAGUCGAGUUGUUUGGGAAUGCAGCUCUAAAUGGGAGGUAAAUUUCUUCUAAAGCUAAAUACUGGCCAGAGACCGAUAGCGCACAAGUAGAGUGAUCGAAAGAUGAAAAGCACUUUGGAAAGAGAGUUAAAAAGCACGUGAAAUUGUUGAAAGGGAAGCGCUUGCAGCCAGACUU